rnacentral:rRNA from 1 species
AUACGUAGGGGGCAAGCGUUGUCCGGAAUGAUUGGGCGUAAAGCGCGCGUAGGCGGCGCGGUAAGUUUGGUGUGAAAGUCCUGCUUUCAAGGUGGGAAGUGCUUUGGAUACUGCCGCGCUUGGGUGCAGGAGAGGUUAUCGGAAUUCCCGGUGUAGCGGUGAAAUGCGUAGAGAUCGGGAGGAACACCAGUGGCGAAGGCGAGUAACUGGACUGAAACUGACGCUGAGGCGCGAAAGUGUGGGUAGCAAACAGGAUUAGAUACCCUGGUAGUCCACACUGUAAACGAUGAAUGCUAGGUGUAAGAGGUAUCGACCCCUUUUGUGCCGGAGUCAACACAAUAAGCAUUCCGCCUGGGGAGUACGGCCGCAAGGUUGAAACUCAAAUGAAUUGACGGGG